rnacentral:rRNA from 1 species
GACGAACGCUGGCGGCGUGCUUAACACAUGCAAGUCGAACGGAAAGGCCCUGCUUUUGUGGGGUGCUCGAGUGGCGAACGGGUGAGUAACACGUGAGUAACCUGCCCUUGACUUUGGGAUAACUUCAGGAAACUGGGGCUAAUACCGGAUAGGAGCUCCUGCUGCAUGGUGGGGGUUGGAAAGUUUCGGCGGUUGGGGAUGGACUCGCGGCUUAUCAGCUUGUUGGUGGGGUAGUGGCUUACCAAGGCUUUGACGGGUAGCCGGCCUGAGAGGGUGACCGGCCACAUUGGGACUGAGAUACGGCCCAGACUCCUACGGGAGGCAGCAGUGGGGAAUAUUGCACAAUGGGCGGAAGCCUGAUGCAGCAACGCCGCGUGCGGGAUGACGGCCUUCGGGUUGUAAACCGCUUUCGCCUGUGACGAAGCGUGAGUGACGGUAAUGGGUAAAGAAGCACCGGCCAACUACGG